rnacentral:rRNA from 1 species
UACGUAGGGUGCAAGCGCUGUCCGGAAUUAUUGGGCGUAAAGAGCUCGUAGGCGGUCUGUUGCGUCGGCUGUGAAAACCCGGGGCUCAACUCCGGGCCUGCAGCCGAUACGGGCAGACUAGAGUUCGGCAGGGGAGACUGGAAUUCCUGGUGUAGCGGUGAAAUGCGCAGAUAUCAGGAGGAACACCGGUGGCGAAGGCGGGUCUCUGGGCCGAUACUGACGCUGAGGAGCGAAAGCGUGGGGAGCGAACAGG